rnacentral:lncRNA from 1 species
GAUGUGGGAAGCUCCAUCUUCACAGUCGAGGACACCAUCCUCUGGGAUUCACGCACUGCUGACUGACAAAGGAGAAAGUCAUCUGAGCACAAGAACUCAUCAUUCUUUGCUUCCAGCCUUCCAGCCUUCUCCUCUUGCCACUGGGCCUCCCCUGCCUGUCGCCUUGCCUCCUCCCCAGUCCUUAAGCCAGAAUCAAUCUUACCUCCCUGAACUUACCCCUUGUCCAGUAUUUGGUCACAGUCCUGAAAGAACAGAAACCAUGAGAUUUUCCUGUAGCUAAUUUCCUGCAACAACAAGAGAAAGAGAAGUAGCUUAUGACUAAAUGUGAAGAUGUGGCUUCUCUCUCUCCCUGGAUCCAAUCACUUAUUGAAUUAACACCAAGGAUCUCUUUCCAGAUGGGAGGACAAUCCUAGUAACAAAAUAAAAUAUGUCAGUACCACUCA